UAGGGAAUCUUCCACAAUGGACGCAAGUCUGAUGGAGCAACGCCGCGUGAGUGAAGAAGGCUUUCGGGUCGUAAAACUCUGUUGUUGGAGAAGAAUGGUCGGCAGAGUAACUGUUGUCGGCGUGACGGUAUCCAACCAGAAAGCCACGGCUAACUACGUGCCAGCAGCCGCGGUAAUACGUAGGUGGCAAGCGUUAUCCGGAUUUAUUGGGCGUAAAGCGAGCGCAGACGGUUUUUAAGUCUGAUGUGAAAGCCCUCGGCUUAACCGAGGAAGUGCAUCGGAAACUGGGAAACUUGAGUGCAGAAGAGGACAGUGGAACUCCAUGUGUAGCGGUGAAAUGCGUAGAUAUAUGGAAGAACACCAGUGGCGAAGGCGGCUGUCUGGUCUGUAACUGACGCUGAGGCUCGAAAGCAUGGGUAGCGAACAGGAUUAGAUACCCUGGUAGUCCAUGCCGUAAACGAUGAAUGCUAGGUGUUGGAGGGUUUCCGCCCUUCAGUGCCGCAGCUAACGCAUUAAGCAUUCCGCCUGGGGAGUACGACCGCAAGGUUGAA
rnacentral:rRNA from 1 species